UAAAUGCAGGGGCAAAAUGAU
rnacentral:miRNA from 1 species